UACAGAGGUCUCAAGCGUUGUUCGGAUUCAUUGGGCGUAAAGGGUGCGUAGGCGGCGCGGUAAGUCGGGGGUGAAAUCUCGGAGCUUAACUCCGAAACUGCAUUCGAUACUGCCGUGCUUGAGGACUGGAGAGGAGACUGGAAUUUACGGUGCAGCGGUGAAAUGCGUAGAUAUCGUAAGGAAGACCAGUGGCGAAGGCGGGUCUCUGGACAGUUCCUGACGCUGAGGCACGAAGGUCAGGGGAGCAAACGGG
rnacentral:rRNA from 1 species